GCUGGGUGUGGUGGCACAUGCCUGUAAUCCCAGCAGCUUGGAAGGCUGAGGCGAGAGGAUCUUGAGUUCAAAGCCAGCCUCAGCAAUUUAGCGAGAUCCUGUCUCAA
rnacentral:sRNA from 1 species